rnacentral:rRNA from 1 species
AGCAGUCGCCACGGUAAUACGGAGGGUGCAAGCGUUAAUCGGAAUUACUGGGCGUAAAGCGCACGCAGGCGGUCUGACAAGUCAGAUGUGAAAUCCCCGGGCUUAACCUGGGAACUGCAUUUGAAACUGUCAGGCUGGAGUCUUGUAGAGGGGGGUAGAAUUCCAGGUGUAGCGGUGAAAUGCGUAGAGAUCUGGAGGAAUACCGGUGGCGAAGGCGGCCCCCUGGACAAAGACUGACGCUCAGGUGCGAAAGCGUGGGGAGCAAACAGGAUUAGAUACCCGUGUAGUCCCUGUCUCUUAUAC